rnacentral:rRNA from 1 species
GUAGGUGGCAAGCGUUGUCCGGAUUUACUGGGUGUAAAGGGCGUGUAGCCGGGAGGGCAAGUCAGAUGUGAAAUCCACGGGCUCAACUCGUGAACUGCAUUUGAAACUACUCUUCUUGAGUAUCGGAGAGGCAAUCGGAAUUCCUAGUGUAGCGGUGAAAUGCGUAGAUAUUAGGAGGAACACCAGUGGCGAAGGCGGAUUGCUGGACGACAACUGACGGUGAGGCGCGAAAGCGUGGGGAGCAAACAGGAUUAGAUACCCCGGUAGUCCACGCUGUAAACGAUGAAUACUAGGUGUGCGGGGACUGACCCCCUGCGUGCCGCAGCUAACGCAAUAAGUAUUCCACCUGGGGAGU